rnacentral:misc_RNA from 1 species
UUUCCGUAGGUGAACCUGCGGAAGGAUCAUUAUUGUAUAACCGAGGUGCGAGGGCUGUCGCUGACCCGAAAGGUCGUGCACGCCCGAGUGCCCUCACACACAUCCAUCUCACCCCCUAUGUGCACCACCGCGUGGGUCCCCCUUUGGCUUGUUCGGAGGGGGGCUUACGUUUUCACACAAACUUUGUAUGCAGUGUAGAAUGUAUUUUUUUGUUUUUGCGAUCACGCAAUCAAUACAACUUUCAACAACGGAUCUCUUGGCUCUC